UAGGAUAUUCUGAUAAUUCUUAUUCUUCUUGUUUACAGUUCUGAUUUGAGGGAAUUAUCUUCCGAUUUUGUCUUUCUCCAGGUAAGAGCAAUGGAGUUUGCAGGCGUCAUUGUAGAGAAGUGGGUUAAAGUAUUGACCAAUGCUGAUCUGGACUCAGAUGAGAUGCGAUUGCCGCCUAAGUUUGUUAAGAAAUAUGU